CCCACUAUCAACACCCAAAGCUGAAGUUCUAUUUAAACUAUUCCCUG
rnacentral:tRNA from 4 species